rnacentral:lncRNA from 1 species
GUUAUGAAGGUAUAUAUGUAUACUGAGUUAUAUACUACACCCACCCACACACACACACGCACUGACACUGACACUGACACUCACACUCACACUCACACUCACUCACACUCACACUCACACACUCACAUUCACUUACACUCACACUCAUACUCACAGAUGUAUAUAUUACACAUAUAUGUGUGUUGUGUAUGGACUAAUGUGUGUAUAUAUAUACACAUAUAUAUGAUAUGUAUAUACUAUGUAUACAGUUGCUUGCUUUUAGUUAUCUACAAUUAUCAAAGUAUAUACGCACGUAUAUGUGCACGAAUGUACAUUCCAUGUACUUAUUAGUAGUUUAUAUUUAUAUAUAGUGUGUAUAGACACGAUAUCCAUAUACUGAUAUGCUUAUACGUUUAUGUAUAAACUUGCUUUCAAUGAUAUAUGCACUGAUAUACAUACACAUAUGCACCCUUACGCAUUGAUAAUGCUUACAUAUAUUUCUAUAUAGACAGAUAUAAAUGACCAUAUGGACACUUUUUAUCAGUUUUUAUAGUUAUUAGCGUAUAUAUACACUGAUAUGUAUAUACGUACACUCAUAUUCAUGUGUUUAAGGGGUUUAUAUAUACACUAAUGUAUAAGACCAUGUAUAUACUUAUUGUUAGUGAUAUAUACAGUUAUUAGCACAAUUUGUUUACGUAUUGAUGUAUACUGUUGUUUUCGGUGUGUAUAUAUAUAUUGAUGCAUAUAACCAUACAAUACAUUAGUUAAUAAUAUGCAUAAAAUACAAUACGUAUAUACUGAUAGGUGUGUAUAUGUAAACUGCAUAUCUGUUUAUAUACACUGCACUAAUAUAUAGUUUUUAACAUACAUUGAUGUGUAUGACCAUAUAUACACUAUUUAUCAGUUUAUACGGUUAUGAACGUAUAUGUACACUGAUUUAUAUGGCACACACUCACACUCACACUCACACUGACACUCAUACUCACAUACACACUCACACUAACACUCAUACUCACACUCACACCGACACUCAUACUCACACACAGUCACACGCACACACUCACUCACACACACUCACACUCACUCAUUCAUACACACUCACACUCACUCAUUCACACUUACACACGUAGACACUCACACCCACACUCACACUUACACUUACACUUACAUUCACUCACUCACACCCACACUCACACUUACACUUAUACUUACAUUUGCAUUCACUCACACACACACCUCACACACACACAAUCACACUAACACUCACACUCUCAGAUAUAUAUACUACACAUAUGUGCGUGUUAUAUAUUGACUGAUGUGAGUAUAUAUAUAAACUGAUGCAUUUAACCUUUCAAUAUACAUUGAUAUAUGCACUUAUUAUCAGUUUUUACAAUUAUCAACGUAUAUGUACCCUGAUUUAUAUAGUACACACCACACACUUACACUUACACAUACACUCACACUCACUCACACUCACACUUACACACAUACAUACACAUUCACACUCACACUCACACUCACCCUCAAAUAUAUAUACUGCACAUAUAUGGGUGUUGUGUGUGGAGUAAUGUGUAUAUUUAUAUGAUAUGUAUAAACUGAUAUGUUUAUGUAUGUAUGUAUACAGUUGCUUUUUAUCUGUUGUUAUGUACAAUUAUCAAUGUAUAUACACUGCUACGUGCAUGCACAUGCACCCUUACGCUAAUGUGUAUAUAUAUACGAUAUGUAUGUACUGAUAUGUUUAUGCGUGUAUGUUAUAUUUGCUUGCUAUCAAUUAGAUACAAUUAUCAAAGUAUAUAUACAUUGGUAUACACAUCCAGGCACCUGUAGGCGUUAAGUGCAUCUAUACUGUGUAUGUGUACAUUAAUAGAUGCAUUCUAUAGACACUGAUAUAUAUGAUCAUAUAGAUAUGUAUUUGCUGAUUAUAUAUAUAUAGUGUGUAUAUAUGCGAUGUAUAUACUGAUAUAGUUAUACGUGUAUGUAUAAGUUGCUUUCAUUUUUAUAUACACUGAUAUGCGCAUACAUAUGCAUCCUUAUGCAUUUCAUAUAUUUCGAUUUACACUAAUAUAUUCAUAUACAAUUAUUAGCGUAUAUGUACACUGAUAUGUAUAUACGCACACUCAAAUACAUAUGUACAAACGGUUUAUAUAUACACUAAUGUAUAAGACUACAUAUAUACUUAUUAUCAAUGAUAUAUACAAUUAUUAGCACAAUUGGUGUACGUAUUGAUGGAUAGCAAUAUAUACCAUUGUGUUCAGUGUAUAUAUAUAUACUGAUGCAUAUA